rnacentral:tRNA from 1 species
GAGGACUUAGCUUAAGUAAAGUGGCUGGUUUGCAUUCAGUUGAUGUAGGAUAUAGUCUUGCAGUCCUUA